GAUGAAGAACGCAGCAAUGCGAUAAGUAAUGUGAAUUGCAGAAUUCAGUGAAUCAUCGAAUCUUUGAACGCACAUUGCGCCCGCCAGUAUUCUGGCGGGCAUGCCUGUUCGAGCGUCAUUUCAACCCUCAGGCCCCGCCUGGCGUUGGGGAUCGGCGCGGCCCUCUCCGGGCUGCCGGCCCCGAAAACUAGUGGCGGUCUCGCUGUAGUCCUCCUCUGCGCAGUAGCAACGCUCGCACUGGAACUCGGCGCGGCCACGCCGUAAAACACCCCACUUCUGAAAGUUGACCUCGGAUCAGGUAGGAAUACCCGCUGAACUUAAGCAUAUCAAUAAGCGGAGGA
rnacentral:misc_RNA from 1 species